UCAAAAGGGAAAACCCUAAAUUUUGUUCCUUUCCUCCUCUAAAAGAAGAGCAGCCGCACCCCUCUCUUCUCACCAAACAACUCCAUCUCCUCCACCUUUCCGAGCCAUUUUCCGGUGAGCUUCCACCACCCAACCAGCCGCCUGAAGCAGCUCUCUCCAACAACAGCCUAAACCUCACCCAUUUCCCCUCCAAAACAACCUUCAAACACCCAACAACAACCGAAAAUGACCAACACCUUCAAACACCUAUUUCACUCUUUUCCGGCAACUCCAUGAACUCCAAACCACCAGACCCACCUCCAUAACCAUCGCUGCUGCCAGCAGCUCAACACCACCAGAUCUUCACCGCACCACUGAUCUUCCGAUGAGCUACAAUAAUCGAAGGUUCAAACUCCGGCGAGGAGCUCAUGAACCGGAGCAACACAACAAGGUCAGGUAUUUUCAUUUUAGUUUCUAAAUUUAGAGAUUUUAUGUUAGGUAGAUAUUAUAUAUAUGAGUUCAUUUUCUUAGAUCUGUUUUUAUUUGUAUUUGCUUGAUUAUAUUUAUUAUAAGUUUGAUUUCAUUGCUUUUGUUUAAGCCUACUUCCGGUGAUUAUGUUACUGUCAUUGUUUAAUUUUGUUGAUUUUCUUAUUGUUGGUUUCUCGCUCGACUUCACUGUUUCAUGAUAUUAAUUUUGUCAUUUUAUGUUCUGAAAGUAAUGUGCUCUUUAUUUGUUUAAGUUAGUUGUAAUUUUUGCAUUUUUGAUAUAUGAAUGUAUGUGAUGGUUUUUUAUUUUAUUUUAUUAUUUUCUCCACUUUCCAAUAACUUUAGAUUUGUAUUGCUGCUCCAUUUGGCUCACAUAUAUUUAGUCUUAAUUAAUUUAUUUGAAUUGAUUUCAUUCACCGUUUAAGAAGAUAUCAACAAAUCUCUCCGUCGAUUUUGGAGGCCUUUACAUUGCAAAAGACGAAAAUUUAGUUUAGUUUCAUAUAUUUUGCGGCUACCUUUUGUUGUUUGUUCUUUUUUAAUAUAUUAUUUUUGUUGUUUGAGUUAAAUUUGGCCAAUGAAAAAAUUUCUCCGUCGAUUUUAGAGGCCUUAAAAUUUUAAAAGACGGAAUUUUAGUUUAAGUUUAUAUAUUUUAUUUGUUAAAAAUGGCCAAUGAAGAAAUUACCAUCGAUUUCUAAGGCCUCUCAUGUUAAUAAGACGGAUGUUUAUUUUAUAGUUAUUGUUUAAUUCAUUUAUUUUAGUCAUAUUUAUUUAGUACUAAUACUUUUACUAAGUGUCUUUACAGGUACCCCGAAGUCGCUUCUCAUCGAAGCCAUUCGAAUAAAAGUUUGAAUGUUAUAUUCAUUAUUAUGUAUAUUGUUGACGAUAAAACAAAUAUUAGGUCGUUUCUCAUAUUACUUGUUUACUUUAUUAUUUGUGUAUAUUGCAUGUUUGUUAUAUUUGUAUAAUAUUUUUUACAUCCUACCUCAAUUUGAAAAAAAUGAAUUCAGUCGGG
rnacentral:lncRNA from 1 species